rnacentral:rRNA from 1 species
AGCUCCAAUAGCGUAUAUUAAAGUUGUUGCAGUUAAAAAGCUCGUAGUUGUAUUUCAGCGUAUGUUGUUUUCGGCGUCUGCAUUCAAAAGAGUGUAAUGACCCGUGCGACUUCGCAAUGUACCAUUGGGUCGUUCCUGGCCUUGAUUGGUUUGGGAGCGUUUUAUCUCGAUGGAUCAUUUACUGUGAGAAAAGUAGAGUGUUCAAGGCAGGCGUUUUUGCAAUUGAAUAUGUUAGCAUGGAAUAAUAAGAUAGGACUUUCGGAUCUAUUUUGUUGGUUUCUAGUUUGGAAGUAAUGAUUGAUAGGGAUAGUUGGGGGUGCUAGUAUUGAAUGGCCAGAGGUGAAAUUCAUGGAUUCAUUCAAGACUAACUAAUGCGAAAGCAUUCACCAAGGAUGUCCUC